GCUAUUUUGUUCGACAAAACACUUCAAGUAACUAGCAACGUGAAAGUUUUCGUUUUGAUGCAUGAGCAAGAAUAGUAAUACAAUUGUGUGGAUCGACCACACGAGGAGGAAAAGUAAUAUGGCACAAGGUACAGUUAAAUGGUUUAACGCAGACAAAGGUUUUGGAUUUAUCGAAGUUGAAGGACAAGACGAUGUAUUCGUACACUUCUCUGCUAUCCAAGGCGAAGGCUUUAAAACACUUGAAGAAGGUCAAAGCGUAACAUUCGAUAUCGAAGAAGGAAAUCGCGGACCACAAGCUGCUAACGUUGAAAAAAACUAAUAACAGCUUUUAAAUAAAAAAGAACCAGUUUAAACUGGUUCUUUUUUU
rnacentral:misc_RNA from 1 species